rnacentral:rRNA from 1 species
AACGAACGCUGGCGGCAUGCCUAACACAUGCAAGUCGAACGAGACCUUCGGGUCUAGUGGCGCACGGGUGCGUAACGCGUGGGAACCUGCCCUUAGGUUCGGUAUAACUCCCCGAAAGGUGUGCUAAUACCGGUUAAUCUCUUCGGACCAAAGAUUUAUUGCCUUUGGAUGGGCCCGCGUUGGAUUAGCUAGUUGGUAGGGUAAAAGCCUACCAAGGCGACGAUCCAUAGCUGGUCUGAGAGGAUGAUCAGCCACACUGGGACUGAGACACGGCCCAGACUCCUACGGGAGGCAGCAGUGGGGAAUAUUGGACGAUGGGCGAAAGCCUGAUCCAGCAAUGCCGCGUGAGUGAUGAAGGCCUUAGGGUUGUAAAGCUCUUUUACCCGGGAUGAUAAUGACAGUACCGGGAGAAUAAGCUCCGGCUAACUCCGUG